rnacentral:rRNA from 1 species
GACGAACCGAGCGAACGUUGUUCGGAAUCACUGGGCUUAAAGGGCGCGUAGGCGGGCUGUCAAGUCUGGGGUGAAAUCCCGCGGCUCAACCGUGGAACUGCCUUAGAUACUGACGGCCUCGAGGGAGGUAGGGGCGAGCGGAACUGUGAGUGGAGCGGUGAAAUGCGUAGAUAUCGGGAGGAAUACCAGUGGCGAAGGCGGCCUUCUGGACGGAUACUGACGCUGAGGCGCGAAAGCCAGGGGAGCAAACGGG